CUCAGAGUUCGACACUGUCUGUGAAAAGAACGAUGGGGCACCGUGUUUAGAAAUGGGGAGAAAGGCCUGCGGAUGAAUAAAGCCGGGGGUUUUGCAGGAAGAAAAAGGCCCGACAAUGCGACUCUUCACUGCGACUCUUCCCUGCGUCGGGGCUUUGGUGCCAGGCUGGUGGGUAACGGACACGGAGCCCGUGGUAAAAGCAUCCAGAGCCAGUCAAGCAGAGCCCCGUGAGCCUUCCAUCGCUCUCUCUGCCUGACAGCCACAGGAUGCAGAGGAGAGCAAAAGUUUCUUUAAGAUCCUGUUCUCCUAGGAGAACAUGAGCCCAGUGGACUAAAUGGAGAAGAAUUUUAAUAAGAUGAACGAACGGUGAUUUUGCUGUAGAUGUCUGAUGUACAGUCAAAACGUUCUUUGAACCGUUGUUAAAUAUGCACAUGUAUUAAAGGCGGUAUUGUGA